rnacentral:rRNA from 1 species
UAAUUUAAGGUCUAGCCUGCCCACUGAAAUUUUAAAUGGCCGUGGUAUUUUGACCGUGCUAAGGUAGCAUAAUCAUUAGUUUCUUAAUUAGGAACUGGAAUGAAAGGUUGGAUAAGAAAAUAGCUGUCUCUAUUAAAAUUAAUUGGAAUUUUAUUUUUAAGUUAAAAAGCUUAAUUAAUAUUAAAAGACGAGAAGACCCUAUAGAGUUUAAUUAUUGUUUAAAAUUUAUAUUUUAGUAUUAAAUUAUUAAUUUUAUAAAAUAAUUUAAUUGGGGUGAUUAAAAAAUUUACUAAACUUUUUUUAUUUUAUAACAUUAAUUUAUGAUUAAAUGAUCCGAUAUUUUCGAUUAUAAGAUUAAAUUACCUUAGGGAUAACAGCGUAAUUUUUUUUGAAAGUUCAUAUUAAAAAAAGAGAUUGCGACCUCGAUGUUGGAUUAAAAUAAAUUUCUGGUGUAGAAGCUUGAAUAUUAGGUCUGUUCGACCCUUAAAAUUUUA